CAGCCGCCGCGGGAAUACGGAGGGUGCAAGCGUUAAUCGGAAUUACUGGGCGUAAAGCGCACGCAGGCGGUCUGACAAGUCAGAUGUGAAAUCCCUGGGCUUAACCUGGGAACUGCAUUUGAAACUGUCAGGCUGGAGUCUUGUAGAGGGGGGUAGAAUUCCAGGUGUAGCGGUGAAAUGCGUAGAGAUCUGGAGGAAUACCGGUGGCGAAGGCGGCCCCCUGGACAAAGACUGACGCUCAGGUGCGAAAGCGUGGGGAGCAAACAGGAUUAGAUACCCGGGUAGUCCCUGUCUCUUAUAC
rnacentral:rRNA from 1 species